rnacentral:lncRNA from 1 species
GUCAAAAGUAAGAAAUGAAGUGAACAAAUCCAUAUGUAUUUGUUGAAAAAUUCUUGCAGUGGGUUCUUCCAUUUGCUUUUCAUGCUUCACACUGUGUAUCUUUGGACAUUUAAUCAGCAACUAAUUACAGGAAGGAUAUAUUUACUAGCUCAUUUCUCCAUAUUACCAGGUACAUAACAUGCAAUAUAUCAACCUUGCAAUCCAUGCUUUAACCCAUGCAGUUGCCCCCUCUCCUGCAGCAUGUUUGGGAAGGGAGAGGAAGGAAUGGAGGUACUGUAAUUUCUAUAUUUAGCUCCCUUCUCUUCAAGCUCC